rnacentral:misc_RNA from 1 species
UGUGGGAGCGAGCCUGCUCGCGAUAGCGGUAUUUCAGUCAACAUGGAUGCCAACUGAACCAUCGCCAUCGCGAGCAGGCUCGCUCCCACA